CCUACGGGAGGCAGCAGUGAGGAAUAUUGGUCAAUGGACGAGAGCCUGAACCAGCCAAGUAGCGUGAAGGAUGACUGCCCUAUGGGUUGUAAACUUCUUUUAUAUGGGAAUAAAAUGUUCCACGUGUGGGAUUUUGUAUGUACCAUAUGAAUAAGGAUCGGCUAACUCCGUGCCAGCAGCCGCGGUAAUACGGAGGAUCCGAGCGUUAUCCGGAUUUAUUGGGUUUAAAGGGAGCGUAGGUGGAUUGUUAAGUCAGUUGUGAAAGUUUGCGGCUCAACCGUAAAAUUGCAGUUGAAACUGGCAGUCUUGAGUACAGUAGAGGUGGGCGGAAUUCGUGGUGUAGCGGUGAAAUGCUUAGAUAUCACGAAGAACUCCGAUUGCGAAGGCAGCUCACUGGACUGCAACUGACACUGAGGCUCGAAAGUGUGGGUAUCAAACAGGAUUAGAUACCCUAGUAGUC
rnacentral:rRNA from 1 species